rnacentral:rRNA from 1 species
UACGGAGGGUGCGAGCGUUGUCCGGAAUCAUUGGGCCUAAAGGGCGCGUAGGUGGCUUCUCAAGCGUGCGGUGAAAGUCGGGGGCUCAACCCCCGAUCGGCCGUGCGAACUGGGGGGCUGGAGCACUGUAGAGGCAGGCGGAAUUCCGGGUGUAGCGGUGGAAUGCGUAGAGAUCCGGAAGAACACCGGUGGCGGAGGCGGCCUGCUGGGCAAUUACUGACACUGAGACGCGACAGCAUGAAGAGCAAACAGG